rnacentral:sRNA from 1 species
AUCUCCUUGUUUACGACUCAUCAGACCUUCGUCCUAUAUGUUCACUGUACAAACAAAAGUAAUUUUGUGCUGAUACAGUAGCUAUUUAACAGCGAGACAGCAUUUUCUCUCUCCUAUAUACAGAUAUUUCUCAUGAGAACUCCACAAAACGACGUAAAUAUCUCAUGAUCAGGUAAGAAUUAAGUAUUCAAUACACUCUUCUUGGCCUCCAAUUAGAAAAACACAUGUUCCAUCAAAAGGUAACUAUCUCAAAGCCCUGGGGCAGUAGCUGUAUACUGUCUCUGACAAUGUCUGGCCCAGGAAACCCGUCAACAAACAUUCUAUGAGCACUACCUGCAUAAAUGGCAGUAAGGAGAGAAUACUGGAGGGACGUUAUCUUGUACCCUGGCCUCCUGAACUGAUAAACCUAAUUCAGAAUGUAUCUCUUAAAUUUUUAAGCUUGUGCUGUGACAUACAUAUGCUGGACUUGGGAGGACGACGAUUUCUGCAUGAUUAUACAGAAGAUGCCUGCAUGCCUCUGUAGAGGGGAGAGGCUGAGAAAACACCCUCCCUGACCAAGCAGUGGACCACCCUAAAUUAGAAGCUUAUGGACUUCUCAGUGACCAACAACUGAGGGAGAGAUAUACAUUCCCUCUCCAAGGCUACAUGUGGUAGGAACCAUCUAAUUCAUUGAACCAGGAAAGAAAAAUAAAGGAAAAUAUUCGGCUGAAACAGGAUUUAGGAACACAGUACUGUUUGAUCAUCGUGAUUAUUUCUCAAAGUGUUCUUUGUGUUUAAAAGAGCAAAGGAAUCUCAACUGUUUUCCAUUCAUAUCUUUUUAUCAUAAUGUAACGGGAUGGAAGAAAUAAUGACAGACCAGACCGUGAUUCAAACCCAGGCCCCUGAAUCUUUAGUCAGGUGCUCUACCAACUGAGUAAUAUGGCAUCAGUAUUUGAACAAAUCUGACUGUCACAUUCCACCCUCCUGAAAUGAUCUUCACCCUUGAAGAUCACCUCAGGCUCUUCCCCUGGAAGGAGAUCACUUGUUAAUUCCAGGGGUUGGUCAUGGCACCAAAUGAAACGGGAUGGGAGGAUUUGGAAUAAUGACAGACCAGACCAGUUUCAAACCCGGCCCCCUGAAUCUCUAGUCAGGUGCUCUACAAACUGAGCUAUCUAGCGCGCCAGUAUUCGAACCGGUCUGACCAUCAGAAUAACUCUUAAUUAUCAUAAAUGAUUAAAGGGGAGAGAGAGAGAGAGAGAGAGAGAGAGAGAGAGAGAGAGAGAGAGAGAUCUUUGUGACAUUUAAUUUAUUAAUUCCUACAAAAUACGUAAUCAAAUGGGAAUUUACGAUCACUUGAGUUUUAACUUAAAUAAAGAAAUAUAUGUAUCUUAAAAUUUAUUUCUUUUUGUAUGAGCUUAUAAUAACAACAAAAUUCUUAGUCAUGUAAAAAAAAACUGGAAUGUCUCUGCCAAAUAUCUCCUUAUUGCACGUUAAACAAUCGCCAUUCAAUGAAAACUCACCAGAUUAUUCCUUAUUCUAACUGUAUUCCUUUUGAACAAUGAAAUUUGAUAACUAAUAAAAUGACAAAUUACGUUUCUUU